rnacentral:rRNA from 1 species
GCCAGACUCCUACGGGAGGCAGCAGUAGGGAAUAUUGCUCAAUGGAGGAAGCCCUGAAGCAGCAACGCCGCGUGGAGGAUGAAGGUUUUAGGAUUGUAAACUCCUUUUGUUAGAGAAGAUUAUGACGGUAUCUAACGAAUAAGCACCGGCUAACUCCGUGCCAGCAGCCGCGGUAAUACGGAGGGUGCAAGCGUUACUCGGAAUCACUGGGCGUAAAGAGUGCGUAGGCGGGGUAAUAAGUCAGAUGUGAAAUCCUGUAGCUUAACUACAGAACUGCAUUUGAAGCUGUUAUUCUAGAGUAUGGGAGAGGUAGGUGGAAUUCUUGGUGUAGGGGUAAAAUCCGUAGAGAUCAAGAGGAAUACUCAUUGCGAAGGCGACCUGCUAGAACAUAACUGACGCUGAUGCGCGAAAGCGUGGGGAGCAAACAGGAUUAGAUACCCCAGUACA